GUCAGUGUGGUGUAGUGGUUAGGGUGCUGCACUAGGACUCUGAAAACCAGGGUUCAAAUCCCCAUUUGGACA